UUCUGUCAUAUGGAUUUGUUUUUCAUGUUUAUGAAUUUCACUAAACAGAUAUAUAGUAUGUCUUUUUAUGUCUUUUCAUUUGCUCCACGUAAUAUUUUUAAGGUUUGCUCAUGUUGUUGUGUGUUUUAGUAGUUCAUUCCUUUUUAUUGCUGAAGAGUUUUGUUAUAUGAAUAUGCCACAAUUUGCUAUCUGGUCUCCUGUUGACAGACAUUUGGACAUUAGUUUUGGUAGUUUUGAAAGAAAGCUGUGAUGCAUGUUCUUUUUUUGGACAUGUAUUUUCAUUUCUCUUUGAUAUUUACAAUGAAACUAACAAUAAUUUUGUAAAGUGUUUUACCAGUGUACACUCUCCCUAGUAGUGAAUGAGUGUUCUAGUUGCUCCAUGUCCUCACUAACAUUUUAUUGUUGUUCGUUUUACUGUUGUUAGCCAAUCUAGUGGAUGUAAAAUGUUAUCUAAUUGUGGUUUUACUUGGCCUUUCCCUGAUGACUUUCCUUGAUUUUGAGAACCUUUUCAUGUGCUUAUUGGCCUUUUGAAUGUCACAUACAAUGUGGUCUUUCAUGUCCUGACUUAUUUUAAGAAUUACGUAGUCUGUUAGUUGAUUGUAGGAGUUUUUUGGUCAGAUAUAUGCAUUACAAGUAUUUUCUCUCAAUGUGUGGGGCUUUUCAUAUAUUUAAUUAUGGCUUUUGAUUAUUAGACAUUUUAAUUUUAUGAAGUCCAAAUUAGCAAUUAAAAAGUGUUCAGUGCUAAUUUGCUUACUGUGUUACUGUAUUGUUUUCCUCUAGAAGUUUUAUAGUUUUUAUUUUUACAUUUAGGCAACUUCAAGUAAGUUUUGUGUAUGGUGUGAAGGAGGCUCCAAGGUUUAAUUUUUUCUAUGUAUUUAUCUGGGUCUUCCAGUAUCUUUUAUUAAAAAACCUUUCCUCCCCAGUGAAUAAUCUUAACAUUUUUGUCAAAAAUCUAUUGACUAUAUAUGUUUGAAUCUGUUUCUGGGUUGUGUUCUAUUUUAUUGAUCUAUUUGCUUAUAUUUAUGAUCCUAAUUCACCGUGUUGAUUACUAUAGCUGAAAAGUAACUCUAAAAAUCAAAGUUGAAUCAACUUUGUUAUUCUUUUUCAUGAUUGUUUUGACAUACAAGCUCUUCUGUGUUUAAAUAUAAUUCUCAUUGUCAGUUUAUAUUUGAAAACCUCUUUAGAUUUUGAUAGGAGUUACAUUGAAUUUAUAGAUCAAUUUGGGAAGAACUAUCUUAACAAUACUGACUCUUCAAAUUCAUGAACAUGGUAUAUAUCUUCAUUUAUUUAGGUCUUAGAUUUUUCUAAACAGUGUUUUGUAGUUUUUAGUUCAGAGAAUUUGCAUAUCUUUGUUAAAUUUAUUCCCAAGUAUUUUAUGUUUUUUAUGUUAUUAAAUUUUGUUAUAAAUGUAAUUGCUCACAAAUUUUAUUUUUCAAUAUGGCACAGUAUUGGUAAGUGUAUCCUGCAACUUUACUAAGCUCAUAUAUUAAUUAUAGUCACUGUUUUUGUAUUUUUAUGUGCAGAAUCAUGUCAUCUGUGAAUAAGGGCAGUUUUUGGCCUAUUUUAAUUAGUUUGACUUUUUUUGUUUUCUUUCCUUAUUGCUUUGUUAAAAUUUCAAGUAGAAUGUUGUAAAAUUUCUUUAAGUUUCUGGUUUGCCAAGAGUUUAAUUUUAAAUAAUAAAUGAGUGUUAAAUGGUUUUGUCUGCAUCUUUUAGGUGAUCAUAUGGUUUUCUGCUUUAUUCUGUGAGUAAAUGAAUGAAAACAAUUUUAGAAAUUUCUACUUUUCAGAUGUAGAAAUAAAAAAUGAUACAUUCCCAUUAAAAUACUACUUUAGCUGGAUCCAGAAAAUGGAUAUGUUGUGUUUUAUCAUUAUUCAGUUUGAAAUAUUUCCUUUGGUUUUUUUUUCAUGGUUUAUUUAUAUGUGUCUUGUUCAAUUUCCACAUAUUCGGUUUAAAUAUAUAUUUUAUUAUUGACUUCCCAUUUAAUUCCACUGUUGUUAGAUAACGUGUUCUGUAAGAUUUUAAUCUUUGGGCAUUUAUUAAGAUGUAUUACAUUUAUUACCUAAGAUAUAGUCCAUCUUUGUGAGCAUCUGAUAAGCACUCAAAAAUAAUGUGUAUAUUUUGGAGAUGUAGUUUUAAUGUUCUAUAAAUGUUAGAUAAAGAUCAUUUAUAGUAUUGUUGAAGUGGUUUAUAUAUCUACUGAUUUUUUUUCUAGGUGAUCUAUCAAUUACUGAAGGAGAUGUAUUAAAAUAUUCAAUUCUGAAUGUGAUCUUUUUUGUCCCUUGAGGUCUGUUAAUUUUUGUUUUAUGGAUUUGAAUGACUGUAUAUUAGAUGUAUUAAAUGCAUAUUAGACACAU
rnacentral:lncRNA from 1 species